rnacentral:tRNA from 1 species
GCCGGUGUGAUGGAAUAGGCAGACAUAGGGGACUUAAAAUCCCCUGGAGGAAACUCCGUGCAGGUUCAAGUCCUGUCACCGGCACCA